UAAUACGGAGGGUGCAAGCGUUGUCCGGAUUCAUUGGGUUUAAAGGGUGCGUAGGCGGUCUUGUAAGUCAGUGGUGAAAUCUCAGAGCUCAACUCUGAAUGUGCCAAUGAUACUGCAGGACUUGAGAGCAGUCGAGGUAGCUGGAAUGUGUAGUGUAGCGGUGAAAUGCAUAGAGAUUACACAGAACACCAAUUGCGAAGGCAAGUUACUAGACUGUUUCAGACGCUGAUGCACGAAAGUGUGGGUAGCGAACAGGAUUAGAUACCCUGGUAGUCCACACUGUAAACGAUGAUUACUAGAUGUUCGGGGGCAACCCUGAGUGUCCAAGCGAAAGCGAUAAGUAAUCCACCUGGGGAGUACGACCGCAAGGUUG
rnacentral:rRNA from 1 species